AGAUUGAACGCUGGCGGCAUGCCUUACACAUGCAAGUCGAACGGCAGCACGGGAGCAAUCCUGGUGGCGAGUGGCGAACGGGUGAGUAAUAUAUCGGAACGUGCCCAGUCGUGGGGGAUAACGUAGAGAAAUUUACGCUAAUACCGCAUACGAUCCAAGGAUGAAAGCGGGGGACCGUAAGGCCUCGCGCGACUGGAGCGGCUGAUAUCAGAUUAGCUUGUUGGUGAGGUAAAAGCUCACCAAGGCGACGAUCUGUAGCUGGUUUGAGAGAACGACCAGCCACACUGGGACUGAGACACGGCCCAGACUCCUACGGGAGGCAGCAGUGGGGAAUUUUGGACAAGU
rnacentral:rRNA from 1 species